rnacentral:rRNA from 1 species
GCGGCGUGCCUAAUACAUGCAAGUCGAGCGCGCUCCCCUUGGGGAGCGAGCGGCGGACGGGUGAGUAACACGUGGAUAACCUGUCCAGAAGUCGGGGAUUACCCCUGGAAACGGGGGUCAAUACCGGAUACGCUCUCUGGAUCGCAUGGUUCGGAGGGGAAAGGUACCUUCGGGUGUCGCUUUUGGGUGGAUCCGCGGCGCAUUAGCUAGUUGGUGAGGUAAGGGCUCACCAAGGCGACGAUGCGUAGCCGGCUUGGGAGAGCGGACGGCCACACUGGGACUGAGACACGGCCCAGACUCCUACGGGAGGCAGCAGUAGGGAAUUCUCCGCAAUGGGCGAAAGCCUGACGGAGCGACGCCGCGUGGGUGAAGACGGCCUUCGGGUUGUAAAGCCCUGUUCAUCGGGAAGAAGAAAUGACGGUACCGGUGAAGAAAGCCCCGGCUAACUACGUGCCAGCAGCCGCGGUAAUACGUAGGGGGCGAGCGUUGUCCGGGAUGAUUGGGCGUAAAGGGCGUGUAGGCGGAUGUAUAGGUCGGGCGUGAAAGGCACGGGCUCAACCCGUGUAAGCGUUCGAAACGGUGCAUCUUGAGUGCGGUA